GAUGAACGCUAGCGGCAGGCUUAAUACAUGCAAGUCGUGGGGCAGCAUGAAGUAGCAAUACUUUGAUGGCGACCGGCAAACGGGUGCGGAACACGUACACAACCUUCCUUUUAGUGGGGAAUAGCACAGAGAAAUUUGGAUUAAUACCCCGUAACAUAGCGAUUAGGCAUCUCAUUGCUAUGAUAGCUUCGGCGCUAGAUGAUGGGUGUGAGUAUGAUUAGAUCGUUGGCGAGGUAACGGCUCACCAAGUCUACGAGCAUUAGCUGAUGUGAGAGCAUGAUCAGCCACACGGGCACUGAGACACGGCCCCGACUCCUACGGGAGGCAGCAGUAAGGAAUAUUGGUCAAUGGACGAAAGUCUGAACCAGCCAGGCCGCGUGAAGGAUUAAGGUCCUCUGGAUUGUAAACGUCUUUUAUAUGGGACGAAAAAAGGUCUUUCUAGAUCACUUGACGGUACCAUAUGAAUAAGCACCGGCUAACUCCGUGCCAGCAGCCGCAGUAACAC
rnacentral:rRNA from 1 species